GACGAACGCUGGCGGCGUGCCUAAUACAUGCAAGUCGAGCGAACGGAGGAGAGCUUGCUCUCCGAAGUUAGCGGCGGACGGGUGAGUAACACGUGGGCAACCUGCCUAUAAGACUGGGAUAACUUCGGGAAACCGGAGCUAAUACCGGAUAGAUUCUUUCCUCUCAUGAGGAAGGAAGGAAAGAUGGUUUCGGCUAUCACUUAUAGAUGGGCCCGCGGCGCAUUAGCUAGUUGGUAAGGUAACGGCUUACCAAGGCGACGAUGCGUAGCCGACCUGAGAGGGGGAUCGGCCACACUGGGAGUGAGACACGGCCCAGACUCCUACGGGAGGCAGCAGUAGGGAAUCUUCCGCAAUGGACGAAAGUCUGACGGAGCAACGCCGCGUGAACGAUGAAGGCCUUCGGGUCGUAAAGUUCUGUUGUUAGGGAAGAACAAGUAUGAGAGUAACUGCUCGUACCUUGACGGUACCUAACCAGAAAGCCACGGCUAACUACGUGCCAGCCGCCGCCGUAACAC
rnacentral:rRNA from 1 species